rnacentral:rRNA from 1 species
CCCUUAGAUGUCCUGGGCCGCACGCGCGCUACACUGAUGCAUUCAACGAGCUUAUAACCUUGGCCGAGAGGCCUGGGCAAUCUUGUUAACGUGCAUCGUGAUAGGGAUAGAUUAUUGAAAUUAUUAAUCUUGAACGAGGAAUUCCUAGUAAACGCAGAUCAUCAAUCUGCAUUGAUUACGUCCCUGCCCUUUGUACACACCGCCCGUCGCACCUACCGAUUGGAUGGUCCGGUGAAGCCUCGGGAUUGUGGUUCUUGCGCUUUAUUGUGGCGUGACCGCGAGAACUUGUCUAAACCUUAUCAUCUAGAGGAAGGUGAAGUCGUAACA